UACGUAGGGUGCGAGCGUUAAUCGGAAUUACUGGGCGUAAAGCGUGCGCAGGCGGUUCGUUGUGUCGGCGGUGAAAGCCCCGGGCUUAACCUGGGAACGGCCGUUGAAACUGGCGAACUGGAGUGUGGCAGAGGGGGGGUGGAAUUCCGCGUGUAGCAGUGAAAUGCGUAGAGAUGCGGAGGAACACCGAUGGCGAAGGCAGCCCCCCUGGGCUAACACUGACGCUCAGGCACGAAAGCGUGGGGAGCAAACAGG
rnacentral:rRNA from 1 species